rnacentral:rRNA from 1 species
AAGCGCCUGUGACCAGACUUGCGCCCCACGGACCACCCGGCGUUCUCGCCGGUGCACUCCGCGGGGUGCAGGCCAGCAUCGGUUUUCCUGGGGGGACAAAGGCCGCGGGAACGUAGCUCCUUCGGGAGUGUUAUAGCCCGUGGCGGCAUGCCCCCGGGGGGACCGAGGACCGCGCUUCGGCAAGGAUGCUGGCGUAAUGGUCACCAGCGA